UUUAUAUACUUAAUCUUCUAAACAUCUCGCAAAGACGUUUCGACAUGCCCGUGACUAUUGAAUACAGUAUCACUUUCAAUAUAGAAGCUGUUUAAUGGCUAAAUCAUCGAUUCUUCUUGCAUAUUCUGAGACUGGAAGCUGUUCUUCCACCGUCAAGGAAUCCAUGACCAUAGCUAUAUCGGUUCACAUGAUCCAGCAAGACCCAAACUGUUCAUAUUCAUUGGUACAUCCAAUUCCUUCCUACAAAGGAAGGAGCAAGGAAGACAAUAAGACGACAGUAAACCAAA